UACGUAGGGUGCAAGCGUUAAUCGGAAUUACUGGGCGUAAAGCGCACGUAGGCGGAUCGAUCAGUCAGGGGUGAAAUCCCAGGGCUCAACCCUGGAACUGCCUUUGAUACUGUCGAUCUGGAGUAUGGAAGAGGUGAGUGGAAUUCCGAGUGUAGAGGUGAAAUUCGUAGAUAUUCGGAGGAACACCAGUGGCGAAGGCGGCUCACUGGUCCAUUACUGACGCUGAGGUAGCGAAAGCGG
rnacentral:rRNA from 1 species